UGACACAAUUUAACUAUGGUGACUAACUUUUCCCUUCUUGCUUUUACAGCAAACUGGCACCAAGAGCAUGAUAUGCCAGUAAAGUCCAAAGGGGAAAGAUGCCUCACAUCUUCAAAGCUCCUCAAAGCUACCUCCUCAGACAUGUGGUUUCACCAUACCCUCAGCUGAAGUAAUGCAACAUGACUCACUUUUCCUCAAGUCAAGCUAACAGACAAUUAACACAGGAGCUGAAGAGCCGUGGUGGGUUUAUGGCACUUGUGGCAGACAGCAGGGCAGUCUGGGAGGAGACGGGGCUCCGCUGGAGAACUCGUGAAGUCACUGGCACUGCUUUACACUAGGAACUGUGGAAUUCACUGGUCACAGACAAUCCCAUCACUGGACUGCAGCAACUCCAAAACCACGGGGAGCUGCAGACACAAGAUACAGAUAAAAGCUGCUUGUUCUUAGGACUUUUAAGUGCUUGCCAGAAAUUUCCUUAGUUGUAGCUUAUUAGUGUCAAUCAAUAAGUUAAGAUUCACAAAGACGCAACCAAGAAAAUUACAACGUGUUCAGCCACAGCUUGAGUUUGUACAAAAGACUUUAAGACACUGAAUCUGACUUGAUUAAAACCAUCAGAUUUCCCACAGGAACAUGCAAAUUCCAUAACUCAUUGCCAAAUAUGUCAAAAUUUAGAAGCAACAAACAAAAGCAAAAGACGAAAUUUAACAUGCAAAGCACUUUUUGGCAGAAAGCUUUGACACAAAUCACAAGAGAGAGCUAUUUGGACAACUUCAGAGUGUUUUAUUAUAAGGCUUGAAACAACAUUGCAGAAGGGAAAAUGGGGUGAGGGAUGAAUUUAAUUAGUUUAUCAAUCAUUGCAGAAAUAGAAAAUAGUAAUGUACAGGGAGAUGGAGAACUGCAGUGCAGAAGUUCAGAAUACAGUGCUGCUGAACUGGAACAAAGCUAAAGCUAACAAGUGCUUCUAAUUACAAAAUCAAUACGAAAUGUGUUGUGCCAGGGGAAACUUACAC
ensembl:lncRNA